UAACGUAAACAGCUCGAGUGGCUGUUUCAUAAAAUUUGCAUUUUGCUGUGCCAGUAUCGGUUUAUCGGAUGAUCAAAGGAGUGGUGAUUUUAGUAAAAAUUUCAAAAUGUCUUAGACUGCACCUACUUUCUUAUCAAGCACUGUGAAGAUGAGCCGGUGACAAUGACCACAAAGUUUCAUUAGCAGUGGUCUUCCUACGACACAUUACCGUUAAUAUACACACAGGGCGCUAUCAGUGCAUUAUGAACCCAACCGUUCCGAGAACUGUAAUUCUACACUAACGAGGGUCCGCCUUCUUCACGGGCCUCAGUGUUCGAGCAUGAGGCCAUCCCCAGGGGGCUGGAGGGUCAAGAUUGCACCCUGUCCGCACCACGGCAGGGCUUCGAUUCUCGCACCCCAGGAGGUGUGAAUACGCUUAGUUUCAUCUAAUAUUAAUGGACGGAGUAUUGUAUUUUCACUCUUAAAUUAAAUUCAAGAAUGCCGCUAA